rnacentral:rRNA from 1 species
GGGCCCGCACAAGCGGUGGAGCAUGUGGUUUAAUUCGAUGAUACGCGAGGAACCUUACCAGGGCUUAAAUGUAAGUUGCAUUAGUUAGAGAUAGCUAUUUCUUCGGACUACUUACAAGGUGCUGCAUGGUUGUCGUCAGCUCGUGCCGUGAGGUGUCAGGUUAAGUCCUAUAACGAGCGCAACCCCUAUCGUUAGUUGCCAGCGGGUCAUGCCGGGUACUCUAGCGAGACUGCCGGUGCAAACCGAGAGGAAGGUGGGGAUGACGUCAAAUCAUCACGGCCCUUACGUCCUGGGCUACACACGUGCUACAAUGGCCGGUACAGAGAGCAGCCACUACGCGAGUAGGCGCGAAUCUUCAAAGCCGGUCUCAGUUCGGAUCGCAGUCUGCAACUCGACUGCGUGAAGCUGGAAUC